rnacentral:misc_RNA from 1 species
GAUGAAGAACGCAGCGAAAUGCGAUACUUGGUGUGAAUUGCAGAAUCCCGUGAACCAUCGAGUCUUUGAACGCAAGUUGCGCCCGAAGCCAUUAAGCCGAGGGCACGCCUGCCUGGGCGUCACACGUCGUUGCCCCCCCAUCUACUCCUUCGGGAUUGCGGGGGGCGGAUGAUGGCCUCCCGUGCGCCUCGUCGCGCGGUUGGCAUAAAUGCCAAGUCCUCGGCGACGCACGCCACGACAAUCGGUGGUUGCGAAACCUCGGUUGCCCGUCGUGUGCGGUCGUCGCGCAUCGAGGGCUCGAAAAAAUUGCCGGGCUCCGGCUCGGCUUUCAACGCGACCCCAGGUCAGGCGGGGUUACCCGCUGAAUUUAAGCAUAUCAAUAAGCGGAGGA